CCCAGUUUUAUUUCUGGACGUGGUGGAGGAGGGAGGGGGUAUGGAGGAGGCUAGCAGGAAGGUAAAUGGCUCCAGGUAGAGGCUGGAGCGGGACUGAUCCUGAGCAGAACAAAUCAGCAGGAAACGAGAGAGGCUGUCACUAGUAGUGGAUUCUACACCUUGAAAUGGACAACCAGGAGCUCCAUCCAGACACCUACAAGAAGUUAUCCUAGUCAUGUGCUGCUGACAUGGAGAUCAUGCUGCCCAAACUCCUCUUCAGAGAAGGACUUGCUUCCAG